UCGAGCGAGAGAGGGGCUUCGGCCCUCAGUAAAGCGGCGGACGGGUGAGUAACACGUAGGUAAUCUUCCCUUGAGCGGGGGACAACGGUCCGAAAGGACCGCUAAUACCGCAUACGUUUCCGAGGACCUCGGUCCUUGGAAGGAAAGCUAGGCCGCAAGGUCCGGCACUCGAGGAGGAGCCUGCGUCGCAUCAGCUAGUUGGUGGGGUAAUGGCCUACCAAGGCGAAGACGCGUAGCUGGUCUGAGAGGAUGAUCAGCCACACUGGGACUGAGACACGGCCCAGACUCCUACGGGAGGCAGCAGUGGGGAAUAUUGGACAAUGGGCGCAAGCCUGAUCCAGCCACGCCGCGUGAGUGAUGAAGGCCUUCGGGUCGUAAAGCUCUGUGGGGAGGGACGAACCGCUGCGCGUGCAUAGCGCGCAGCAUGACGGUACCUCCUUAGCAAGCACCGGCUAACUUCGUGCCAGCAGCCGCGGUAAUACGAAGGGUGCAAACGUUG
rnacentral:rRNA from 1 species